AUACCUUUCUCGGCCUUUUGGCUAAGAUCAAGUGUAGUAUCUGUUCUUAUCAGUUUAAUAUCUGAUAUGUGGACCAUUGGUUCACACGAUAUUAAAUUUAUUUUUUAAGGGAGAGGGUCAAUUGCAGUGGCUUGCCACUGUGGUCCUCAAGCAUCACCUCUGCUUUGCACUACAGCAAGGCUGGUAGCAUCCCUC
rnacentral:snRNA from 2 species